rnacentral:lncRNA from 1 species
CCACGCUGACACACGAGAUUAGUGGGAGAGGUGCCCUCAAUGCCACAGGCAGAAAUGGGUCAGCUCCGAUUUGGAAAGCUCUCUACUUGAAGUGAGUAGCGAUGCAGCCGCAGAAAUAAAAGGCCAAAAAUCCUGUGUUUUCUGCCUCGGAGCCCUGCUGAGAUCCACAGGCAGUGAGUCCUAAGCAGCUGAACAGGAUCAUUUGUGUGGUCUUUCCUCGCUUGGCUUGGCUACAGCAUCCCUACAAGUAGCAGGACCUCCUUGCCUGGUGGAAGGAGGCAGGAGUGUUGUCCCACAGGUGUUGUCACAUCUCAGAGGAAUUUCCCACCGGGAUUUCUGCGGCACUUUCAACAGCAAGGGAAGGAACUGAGUCUGAAUUUUGCAUGACAUUGUUGUUGCAAGGUGUCCACAGAUGCCCAGAAGCCAACACAGCCUCCAAAGGAAGCUGGGAACGUUCUGCCAUCCCGGAGAAGACAUGUCUGGGGCUGACCCAGGACUGUUAUCCAGCCCUGCAGUUUAUGUGCAGAGGGCCAUCCCUUUCACACAUGAAGCACAGCGAGCCCAAACCGGAUCCCCAUUCUCCAUGGAGAUCAGCCUGCAGGGAUGACGAGAGAAGCAGAGUGAGUCCCCAGCCCUCUCCAGAGCAGAACUGCAAAACCACAGGCUUCAGCAAAGCCCUUUGA